rnacentral:lncRNA from 1 species
CAGCACAAGCACCUUCAUGAAUUAGUUUAACUGGAAUUAGUUUAACUGGAAGCUUUCCUGCUGACAGCUUGCUGAUAUGUGUCAAAGGUGGAAGGAAGGAGACUGACAGAAUGGGAGCAAGAGAGGAAAACAGGCUAAUCUUGGAGUCUGGACCUCUGUGAGAGAAAGGAGUCCUGAGUGGAGGGUACCUGAGCAACCUGAAGAGAAACUAGAUGAUGAUAUACCCUGCACGAAGAAGUGGAGGGCCAGGCAGAAAUGAAGCAAAUACCCACAGCUGUAAAUGGUGAUUUCUAAAUUUCUGGUAACAUCAAGAAACCAAGCUGUUCUGGAUGAAAAUGAGAGGUUACCUGUGCAGUGAAAAGUGUUUCAAUUGGUCAAGAUAUAGACCAUUCCUAGCACCUCAGAAGAACACCUCCCAUUCAGUACCUUCCUCCAAAGACUACCACUCUUCUGUCCUCUGUCACCAUAGAUGAGUCCUGUCUGUUUUUGAACUUCAUAUAAAUAGAAUCAUAUGGAUCGUGCAGCAGCUGUAAAAUGUCAUAAUGGCCUUCUCCUUGAGUGCUUCCUGCUUUCUGACUGAUGACACUCUCCGUGGUCCCACUUCACCACACUCGUCUAUUAUCAAGAGAUCCAAUCUUGCUAAAGUUCCCUUAGCUGAAGACAGCACUCAAUCCCUAGUUCAACCGCCUCUUCUCCUAACACAGCCUUGGAAAAGCAAUCAACCCAGAACUGACCACCACUCCUUAAACCUUCCUCUGAAUCCUUUAGCAAGAACUCAAACCUUAUAAAAGGGGUUUCCCCCUUCCCUCUUGUUGAGCAGUGUUCCACGGUUCUCACGGCAUUGAGACAAUAAAUCUGACCUUGUCAUGCUA